AUUGAACGCUGGCGGCAGGCCUAACACAUGCAAGUCGAGCGGAUGAAGGGAGCUUGCUCCUGGAUUCAGCGGCGGACGGGCGAGUAAUGCCUAGGAAUCUGCCUGGUAGUGGGGGAUAACGUCCGGAAACGGGCGCUAAUACCGCAUACGUCCUGAGGGAGAAAGUGGGGGAUCUUCGGACCUCACGCUAUCAGAUGAGCCUAGGUCGGAUUAGCUAGUUGGUGGGGUAAAGGCCUACCAAGGCGACGAUCCGUAACUGGUCUGAGAGGAUGAUCAGUCACACUGGAACUGAGACACGGUCCAGACUCCUACGGGAGGCAGCAGUGGGGAAUAUUGGACAAUGGGCGAAAGCCUGAUCCAGCCAUGCCGCGUGUGUGAAGAAGGUCUUCGGAUUGUAAAGCACUUUAAGUUGGGAGGAGGGGCAGUAAGUUAAUACCUUGCUGUUUUGACGUUACCAACAGAAUAAGCACCGGCUAACUUCGUG
rnacentral:rRNA from 1 species